AAAGGGUGCGUAGGCGGCCUGUUAAGUCAGGGGUGAAAGACGGUAGCUCAACUAUCGCAGUGCCCUUGAUACUGAUGGGCUUGAAUUGACUAGAGGUAGGCGGAAUGUGACAAGUAGCGGUGAAAUGCAUAGAUAUGUCACAGAACACCGAUUGCGAAGGCAGCUUACUAUGGUCUUAUUGACGCUGAGGCACGAAAGCGUGGGGAUCAAACAGGAUUAGAUACCCGAGU
rnacentral:rRNA from 1 species